UGGGGAUGCGUUCCAUUAGAUAGUAGGCGGGGUAACGGCCCACCUAGUCCUUCGAUGGAUAGGGGUUCUGAGAGGAAGGUCCCCCACAUUGGAACUGAGACACGGUCCAAACUCCUACGGGAGGCAGCAGUGAGGAAUAUUGGUCAAUGGACGAGAAUCUGAACCAGCCAAGUAGCGUGAAGGAUGAAGGCCCUAUGGAUUGUAAACUUCUUUUAUACGGGAAUAAACUGAGGCACGUGUGCAUUUUUGUAUGUACCGUAUGAAUAAGGAUCGGCUAACUCCGUGCCAGCAGCCGCGGUAAUACGGAGGAUCCGAGCGUUAUNCCGGAUUUAUUGGGUUUAAAGGGAGCGUAGACGGACGGUUAAGUCAGUUGUGAAAGUUUGCGGCUCAACCGUAAAAUUGCAGUUGAUACUGGCUGUCUUGAGUACAGUAGAGGUCAGGCGGAAUUCGUGGUGUAGCGGUGAAAUGCUUAGAU
rnacentral:rRNA from 1 species